GACGAACGCUGGCGGCGUGCUUAACACAUGCAAGUCGAACGGAAAGGCCCUGCUUUUGUGGGGUGCUCGAGUGGCGAACGGGUGAGUAACACGUGAGUAACCUGCCCUUGACUUUGGGAUAACUUCAGGAAACUGGGGCUAAUACCGGAUAGGAGCUCCUGCUGCAUGGUGGGGGUUGGAAAGUUUCGGCGGUUGGGGAUGGACUCGCGGCUUAUCAGCUUGUUGGUGGGGUAGUGGCUUACCAAGGCUUUGACGGGUAGCCGGCCUGAGAGGGUGACCGGCACCAUGGGGCUGGAGGGCGGGCCAGGCCCCCGCCGGGGGGCACAGGGGGGAAUUAUGGAACAUGGGCGGGAGGCCGUAUGCAGCAGCCCCGGGUGGGGGAGGAGGGCCUUGGGUUUGAAACCCGUUUUCGCCUGUGAGGAGGGGGGAGUGGGGUUAAGGGAUAAGAAGCCCCCGCCUACCUCCGUC
rnacentral:rRNA from 1 species